rnacentral:tRNA from 1 species
GGGCCCGUGGUCUAGUUGGUUAUGACGUCGCCUUGACAUGGCGGAGGUCAUGCGUUCGAAUCGCAUCGGGCCCA